rnacentral:rRNA from 1 species
UACCAGACUCCUACGGGAGGCAGCAGUGGGGAAUAUUGGGCAAUGGGCGAAAGCCUGACCCAGCAACGCCGCGUGAAGGAAGAAGGCUUUCGGGUUGUAAACUUCUUUUGACAGGGAAGAGCAGAAGGCGGUACCUGUCGAAUAAGCCACGGCUAACUACGUGCCAGCAGCCGCGGUAAUACGUAGGGGGCAAGCGUUAUCCGGAUUUACUGGGUGUAAAGGGAGCGUAGACGGCAUGGCAAGCCAGAUGUGAAAUACCGGGGCUCAACCCCGGGACUGCAUUUGGAACUGUUAAGCUGGAGUGUCGGAGAGGCAGGCGGAAUUCCUAGUGUAGCGGUGAAAUGCGUAGAUAUUAGGGGGAACACCAGUGGCGAAGGCGGCCUGCUGGACGAUAACUGACGUUGAGGCUCGAAAGCGUGGGGAGCAAACAGGAUUAGAUACCCCCGUAGA